GACGUAGGGUGCAAGCGUUGUCCGGAUUUACUGGGCGUAAAGGGCGCGUAGGCGGCUCAUGAAGGCUGUGGUGAAAGUCCGGGGCUCAACCUCGGAUCGGCCGUGGCGACUCGUGGGCUGGAGCACUGUAGAGGCGGGUGGAAUUCCGGGUGUAGCGGUGGAAUGCGUAGAGAUCCGGAAGAACACCAGUGGCGAAGGCGGCCCGCUGGGCAGUGGCUGACGCUGAGGCGCGACAGCGUGGGGAGCAAACAGG
rnacentral:rRNA from 1 species